GACGGAGGAUGCAAGCGUUAUCCGGAAUUAUUGGGCGUAAAGCGUCCGUAGGCGGUUUCAAAAGUCUGUUGUUAAAGCCCACAGCUCAACUGUGGAUCGGCAAUGGGAACUGUGAGACUAGAGAGUGGUGGGGGUAGAGGGAAUUCCUAGUGUAGCGGUGAAAUGCGUAGAUAUUAGGAAGAACACCAGUGGCGAAGGCGCUCUACUGGGCCAUUACUGACACUGAGGCACGAAGGCCAGGGGAGCAAACGGG
rnacentral:rRNA from 1 species